rnacentral:rRNA from 1 species
CCUACGGGAGGCAGCAGUGAGGAAUAUUGGUCAAUGGCCGCAGGGCUGAACCAGCCCAGUCGCGUGAGGGAUGACGGUCCUAUGGAUUGUAAACCUCUUUUGUCAGGGAGCAAAGGGCGCCACGUGUGGCGCUUUGCGAGUACCUGAAGAAAAAGCAUCGGCUAACUCCGUGCCAGCAGCCGCGGUAAUACGGAGGAUGCGAGCGUUAUCCGGAUUUAUUGGGUUUAAAGGGUGCGCAGGCGGAAUGUCAAGUCAGCGGUAAAAUUUCGGGGCUCAACCCCGUCGGGCCGUUGAACCUGGCGUUCUUGAGUGAGCGAGAAGUAUGCGGAAUGCGUGGUGUAGCGGUGAAAUGCAUAGAUAUCACGCAGAACUCCGAUUGCGAAGGCAGCAUACCGGCGCUCAACUGACGCUCAUGCACGAAAGCGUGGGUAUCGAACAGGAUUAGAUACCCCGGUAGUC